AUAGCCCAGGGAAACCUGGAUUAAUACCGGAUGAGACGGGACCUGCGAUGGCGGGAUCCGGGAAAGGCGCUACGGCGCCGCCGGGGGAUGAGUCUGCGUCCCAUUAGCUAGACGGCGGGGUAACGGCCCACCGUGGCGACGAUGGGUAGCCGGCCUGAGAGGGUGGACGGCCACAUUGGAACUGAGACACGGUCCAGACUCCUACGGGAGGCAGCAGCUAAGAAUCUUCCGCAAGUGGGACGAAAGCCUGACGGAGCGAACCGCCGCGUGAACGAAGAAGGCCGUGAGGUUAGUAAAGUUUCGUUUUCGGGAGGGGGGAACAACCGUGGCAGGGAAUGGCCGCGGGAUGACGUGAAUCCCGGAAUAAGCCCCGGCUAACUACGUGCCAGCCGCCGC
rnacentral:rRNA from 1 species